rnacentral:rRNA from 1 species
CUACGGGUUGCACCAGUCGCGGAACCUUUACACUGCACGAAAGUGUGAUAGGGGGAUUUCGAGUGCUCUCACUGAGAGCUUUUGCUAAAUGUAAAAAGUUUGGCGAAUAAAGAGGGGGUAAUAUACGUGCCAGCCGCCGCGGUAAUACGUAACCUCUAAGUGGUUUCCACUUGUAUUGGGCCUAAAACACCUGUAGCCUGUGCAAUCAGUCUUUGGUGAAAUCAAACAGCUCAACUGUUUGAAUUGCUAAAGAUACUGUUGUGCUUGGGGAAGGGAGACGUGAAGGGAAUUUUUGGGGUAACGGUGGAAUGUGAUGAUCCCAAAAGGACCACCAGUAGCGAAGGCGCUUCACGAGAACUAUCCCGACGGUGAGAGAUGAAAGCUGGGGGAGCGACCAGGAUUAGAUACCCCUGUAGUC